AUCCAGAUGACGAGCCCCAAAUAGGACGAAAUCCGCAUCCUGGAU
rnacentral:hammerhead_ribozyme from 1 species